UACGUAGGGUGCAAGCGUUAAUCGGAAUUACUGGGCGUAAAGCGUGCGCAGGCGGUUUUGUAAGUCUGUCGUGAAAUCCCCGGGCUCAACCUGGGAAUUGCGAUGGAGACUGCAAGGCUAGAAUCUGGCAGAGGGGGGUAGAAUUCCACGUGUAGCAGUGAAAUGCGUAGAGAUGUGGAGGAACACCGAUGGCGAAGGCAGCCCCCUGGGACAAGAUUGACGCUCAUGCACGAAAGCGUGGGGAGCAAACAGG
rnacentral:rRNA from 1 species